ACACCGGCAGCUCAAGUGGUAGCCGCUUUUAUUGGGCCUAAAGCGUCCGUAGCCGGUCUGAUAAGUCUCUGGUGAAAUCCCGCAGCUUAACUGUGGGAAUUGCUGGAGAUACUAUCAUGACUCGAGGUCGGGAGAGGCUGGAGGUACUCCCAGGGUAGGGGGGAAAUCCUGUAAUCCUGGGAGGACCACCUGUGGCGAAGGCGUCCAGCUGGAACGAACCUGACGGUGAGGGACGAAAGCCAGGGGCGCGAACCGGAUUAGAUACCCGGGUAGUCCUGGCCGUAAACGAUGUGGACUUGGUGUUGGGAUGGCUUCGAGCUGCCCCAGUGCCGAAGGGAAGCUGUUAAGUCCACCGCCUGGGAAGUACGGCCGCAAGGCUGAAACUUAAAUGAAUUGGCGGGG
rnacentral:rRNA from 1 species